rnacentral:rRNA from 1 species
GUCUUAUCGGUGGAUCACUCGGCUCGUGGAUCGAUGAAGAACGCAGCCAACUGCGAUAAUUAGUGUGAACUGCAGAAACCUUGAACACAGAACUUUCGAAUGCACAUUGCGCCAUUGGAGUGACAUCCAUUGGCACGCCUGGUUCAGGGUCGUAAC